CACUGACUACUGCAGUAGAGGCAGGAAGCACAGUGGAGUUUAACUCUUGUGCUGGUGGCACACCAUGGUCAACCACUGUUACCACUAAUUGCUAGUAUUGAGGGGACCUUACCUCACUCAUGAUCCUGGAUCCUACCCCUGACCAGCUGAAGAAUAAUGGAGGAAGAGAAAACAUGGAGGGAUCAAGAAAUAAAAAGAAGGUCAUGUGCUGAAGAAUAUGAGGGAAGAGUGGAGUUAGAAGAGGAGCAAGGUAAUGGCAGAACUGACUCCACACCAAACUCCAUAGAUGUCAUGGGCAUAGGCACAGCCAUCCAGAACUUCAGAUUCUGCUGGCCACAGAGAUGAUCCAAGAACAGAACUACCUGACUCCAGCAUGAAAAUCCUCUUGAGAAACUCUCCUGCAGAGCUUGUCUCCCAGCCACGUCUACACAUAUGCCUCUGUGGAUAGUACAUUAAUACUACUCACAAUAGAAGUCUACAGCUACUCUCCACAAGAGGAAGGAGCCAGAUGAAUGGCUGCCCUUACAAUGCGGGAAGGUCCCAGGACACACUGUACAAUAUGUCAAUGGACCCACUGAACACAAUGAAGAUCCACUGAAAGGAAAUGAGAACCUAGUAGAGUUCUCAAGAUAUGAGAUAUUGAAACACAGUAGAAGUGAGCAAGAGAAUACAUGUGUUAUACCUCCUUAACCACAGGGGGUGAGAAGGGCAGAGAGAGAGAAUCCCAAGCAGGCCCUGCACUGUCAGCACACAGCCGAACACGGUGCUUAAACCAACGAAUCGUGAGAUAAUGACCCGAGCUGAAACCAAGAGUCAGACACUUAACUGACUGAGCCAGGUGCCACUGUAAA